GACGAACGCUGGCGGCGUGCUUAACACAUGCAAGUCGAACGGUAAGGCCCUUCGGGGUACACGAGUGGCGAACGGGUGAGUAACACGUGGGUGAUCUGCCCUGCACUUCGGGAUAAGCCUGGGAAACUGGGUCUAAUACCGGAUAGGACUCCUGGCUUCAUGGUUGGGGGUGGAAAGCUUUUGCGGGGUGGGAUGGGCCCGCGGCCUAUCAGCUUGUGGGUGGGGUAAUGGCCUACCAAGGCGACGACGGGUAGCCGGACUGAGAGGGUGACCGGUCACACAGGGACUGAGAUACGGCCCAGACUCCUACGGGAGGCAGCAGUGGGGAAUAGUGCACCAUGGGCGCAAGCCUGAUGCAGCGACGCCGCGUGAGGGAUGACGGCCUUCGGGUUGUAAACCUCUUUCAGCUAUGACGAAGCGCAAGUGACGGUAGUAGCAGAAGAAGGACCGGCCAACUACGUGCCAGCCGCCGCAGUAA
rnacentral:rRNA from 1 species